rnacentral:rRNA from 1 species
GAAGGCUAUCGGGGAUUCCCUAGUAGCGGCGAGCGAAGCGGGAAGAGCUCAAAUUUAUAAUCUGGCACCUUCGGUGUCCGAGUUGUAAUCUCUAGAAGUGUUUUCCGCGUUGGACCGCACACAAGUCUGUUGGAAUACAGCGGCAUAGUGGUGAAACCCCCGUAUAUGGUGCGGACGCCCAGCGCUUUGUGAUACACUUUCAAUGAGUCGAGUUGUUUGGGAAUGCAGCUCAAAUUGGGUGGUAAAUUCCAUCUAAAGCUAAAUAUUGGCGAGAGACCGAUAGCGAACAAGUACCGUGAGGGAAAGAUGAAAAGCACUUUGGAAAGAGAGUUAACAGUACGUGAAAUUGUUGGAAGGGAAACGCUUGAAGUCAGACUUGCUUGCCGGAGCUUGCUUCGGUUUGCAGGCCAGCAUCAGUUUUCCGGGGUGGAUAAUGACGGUUUGAAGGUAGCAGUCUCGGCUGUGUUAUAGCUUUCCGUUGGAUACAUCCUGGGGGACUGAGGAACGCAGCGUGCUUUUUGCGAAAGACUCGUCUUUUUCACGCUUAGGAUGCUGGUGGAAUGGCUUUAAACGACCCGUCUAAAAAGGGGGGGAAAAAAAAAAAGAAAAGUAAAUUUGUAAGGG